AUCGCUUCUCGGCCUUUUGGCUAAGAUCAAGUGUAGGAACUAUUUAAAAAUCACAUACAAUGUUACUGAAGUUUUACUCUUUUUUUUCAGACUGAUUUUUUUUCUGCUUCAGUGAUAGAAAUUUGGCUUGGAGGAAAAGAAUGAAAAGUCCUUAUUAAGUCUAUUUAAC
rnacentral:snRNA from 1 species